UACGGGGGAGCAAGCGUUGUUCGGAUUUACUGGCGUAAAGGGCGCGUAGGCGGUCAGCACAAGUCAGUUGUGAAAUCUCCGGGCUUAACCCGGAAAGGUCAACUGAUACUGUGCGACUAGAGUGCGGAAGGGGGCAACUGGAAUUCUCGGUGUAGCGGUGAAAUGCGUAGAUAUCGAGAGGAACACCUGCGGCGAAGGCGGGUUGCUGGGCCGACACUGACGCUGAUGCGCGAAAGCCAGGGGAGGCGAACGGG
rnacentral:rRNA from 1 species